AUGGUUGUUGAUUAUCGUGGUUUGAAUGAAGUGACAAUCAAGAAUAAGUACCCACUACCGAUGAUCAAUGAUCUGUUUGACCAGUUGCAAGGAGCUAAAGUAUUUUCCAAGAUCGAUCUACGUUCAGGAUAUCACCAGCUGAAGAUUCGAGAGCCGGAUAUACCCAAGACAGCUUUUACCACGAGGUAUGGGCUAUAUGAGUAUACCGUUAUGUCAUUUGGACUGACUAACACACCUACCUAUUUCAUGAACAUGAUGAACAAGGUGUUUAUGGAGUUUUCGGAUAAGUUCGUCGUGGUGUUCAUUGAUGAUAUUCUAGUCUACUCGAAGAAUCAAGAGGAGCAUAAGGAGCAUUUGCAUUUGGUACUUGGGAAGCUCAUA
rnacentral:rRNA from 1 species